AUGCGCAUGUUAAAAGACAAAGACAGCCAAUGGUUGGAAUUCCUUCCAGUAUAUUCUUUUUUAGCAGCCAUUUCAUCACAGUAUUUAGUCCGCGGUAAAAUAAACGAGGAUCACCGACGACCUAUAUUACCAAGUAGUUUGGAUGUUAAAAACGCUUUUGAAAAACACAAAAUAAUAUCUGAUGGUCUUAUUCCGAGGGCACCGGAUAGAUUUAUGGUGGUAAAAUUUCGGAAUAAUAGCACGGUCGAAUUAGGAAAUUUUCUGACAUUCGAUGAAGCUUGGGAAAUUCCAGGUUUCAUUUAUUGGGAUGCUGAUCCUGGGUGUAUACAUACGUUAAUAUUCCUCAAUAUUGAUCAUCCGAAUGAAUUCUUCCCCAAAAACGCCAGUACCUUCAGUGGUUGGUGGGGAACAUCCCAGAGGCAAGGGUCGAAAAUGGGAGAAUAUUGUCAUCUUACUUGA
rnacentral:lncRNA from 1 species